UGCCUACGGGACGCAGCAGUGGGGAAUAUUGGGCAAUGGGCGCAAGCCUGACCCAGCAACGCCGCGUGAAGGAAGAAGGCUUUCGGGUUGUAAACUUCUUUUCUCAGGGACGAAGCAAGUGACGGUACCUGAGGAAUAAGCCACGGCUAACUACGUGCCAGCAGCCGCGGUAAUACGGAGGAUGCGAGCGUUAUCCGGAUUUAUUGGGUUUAAAGGGUGCGUAGGCGGGAUGCCAAGUCAGCGGUAAAAAUGCGGUGCUCAACGCCGUCGAGCCGUUGAAACUGGCGUUCUUGAGUGGGCGAGAA
rnacentral:rRNA from 1 species